AUGAAGGUUUGGCUCGUCACUCCAGUCCCACAACAUUAUUUGAUUCCUACAUGGAAGGAAGAAAAUGUAUGGGUGUUUCAUGACCUGAGAUUCAGAGUGUCUGGCAAGGAGAUGGGCCAUUAUAAUGCGGUAUUGCACCAGAACCCAGAGAAGAAGACCCGGACUUUGCAGGGAAGUACCAGGGUUCUGAUGAAGCAGGAAAGGAGAAAGCAAAAGGAAUAUUUUGAAAAGAAAAGGUUAAAAUCAAAAAUGAAGUUACUGGGAGUUUCAUCCCCUGUCAAAAAUUCCACUGUCAGUUUAGACCUCCUUAACCUAUAUAUGGUAAAUCACAUAUCUUGCCAGAAGAAAACACCUGAAACUGUGAGAAAACCAAUCCACGUGAAUAUGCAUAGAGACAUAAAAAUGCCCCUAAGAAAGCAUAAUUUAGAACUUCCAAUGUCACCUCACUGUGUACCAUCUAACCUCCGCAUUGAUGAUAUAGACAACAGACUAGGCAGCAAGAAAGAACUUGCCCCAGUUCAGCUCAGUGAAGUUAAUUAUUCUAAUUCCUUGGUUUCCAAAUUAAAUGAAAAUCAAGAUGCUCUCAGUCCAACAUAUAAAACAGGACAAUUUAGGUCAUUAUUCAAAAGAUUAAACAGUCCAGGCAGUAGGAAUUUCCUUACUGGAAGACCUGUUGUGGAUAUGGGUGAAGAAUGUGGAAGCAUGGAUGAGCAAAGACAGUCAGACUUCAUUACUGAAAAACAGUCAGUACAACAUAUUUGGGGAGAAAAUAGGAGAGAGCUUUCAAAUUUUUUUGAAAGUGUGAACCAGCCAAAAGCCAGCCUUUUAUCAGAGAAUUGUAACUCUUUUAUUAGUGAAAAUGUCAUCAAUUUAUUAAGCAUAGAUCAACAGAGGAUAAAGAAACCCUUUGACAAGUGUGGUUAUGACAGUAUGGGAGAUAUUUGUGCAAUCACAAGUUCUGAUAAAAAUGAUUCAACUGAUAGAUGCGUUAGAAGAAUUUUUACAGAUCCAGUGUUGGCUCUUAGUAAUUCUACUUUUAAUAAAACAAGUUAUCCAGAAAAGUGUCAGCCAGACAAGAGGUAUCAAAAAGAGUACCACAAUAAUGAUAGAAAUACUUUUAGUACAUCUUUUGAAAAGAAUUGUUCUGCAGCCAGCUUUGAAAAAAAAGGAAAAUUUAAAAGUGAUUACCAAGAGAAGACACCACAGAAUGGAGGCCAGAAAUAUCCAGUGAAUCAUAUGGGUAAUAGCUGUUUGGAAGAAUUGCAUUCUAAGCAAUCGUGGGACUUAGGAUUUGGUGAGAUUCUGAUGGAAGAAGGAGGAACCUGUUCUUUAAAAGACAGACCAUCAUCUGCUAAGAAAAUCUGUCAGUAUCUUGAUUCUUCACAGAGUAGUCAGUCUACCAGUUACUCUCCAAGGCCAACAGACAGUUGCUUCAGUUCUAGUUCAGAGAUGCCAUCUGAAGAUGAAGAUCAAAUAUUACAGCAAAUUGAAGAAUCAAAUAGGAGGUCCAUCAGAAUCAAAGAAACAAGUCUGACCAGAAGACAUUCCAAAUGAUGACGGGGAGAGGAAGACUAUUGGUGUAGUCCACACAGAGAGAAGUCCUGUACUACUUCCUAGUUUGUGAUCUUGGGCAAGUCAUCAAAAUGUUCUGAACUUAAGUUUAGUACCCAUAAAAGCACUACAAUGUUUACCCCACAGGACUGGAUAGUUAAAUGAAGACUUUGACCACUGAUGCAAAUAUGUACUGCAAUAUUUAGGUGUCCUGGAAUUAUUUGAUUAAAAGAAUGGGAAAAAUAGUCUGCUAGCAGCUAUUUAUAUUAAAACAAACGAAGGCACAAAUAGGACUCCAGAGGCGAUGAGUGAAGGCGUGGUCCUGUGCAGAGUCAGUUUCUGAAAAACUCUAUGAAGAUCUGAUUUGGAGAGAGAGACCAAAAUGUGGAAUCCAAAGGGGGAAGACAGCCAUAGAUGAAAAGGAGUCCCACACCAGCGAAUCCAGCAUAAAGGAAGAAGGCUCCUGCAACGGAAAAGAGUACAUAUUUACUCUGGAGUAGUCUCUCUGUGAUCCAUUUCCUGAUACUCGAUCCUCUUCUCUAGUCCUGUCUCCUUGAGUGUGGGAGUGACCUGUGACUUGUUUCUAACAGAACGUGGCUGAAGUGACAGGACGUAUGUGAUUAUGUAAGCUGCUCCACGGAAGUCUCUCACUCCCUUGCUGGCUUUGAAAAAGUAAGCUGGUACGUGAUGGGAUGCCAGUGUUGGGAUGCUCAUGGGAGGGACUGAGAGAAGUCUUUAGGAGCUGGGGGUAGCCUCUGAUUAACAGCAAGAAACUGAAGUUCUUGGUACAAAAGUUACUGAAUUCGGCUAACAAGAUCUUCCUUAGCUGAGCCUCAGAUACAACCACAGCCCAAGUGAACACUCUGUAGCCUUGUGAGACCCUA